AAGUUUCUGGGGAAAUGGAAACCCGCUUGCGGUUUGUAUCCGCAGAUCAGAUGAGCAUGUUCAAGGGCGCGAAGUUCUC
rnacentral:tRNA from 1 species